UGGGGAAUUUUGGACAAUGGGGGCAACCCUGAUCCAGCAAUGCCGCGUGUGUGAAGAAGGUCUUCGGAUUGUAAAGCACUUUAAGUUGGGAGGAAGGGCAGUUACCUAAUACGUAUCUGUUUUGACGUUACCGACAGAAUAAGCACCGGCUAACUCUGUGCCAGCAGCCGCGGUAAUACAGAGGGUGCAAGCGUUAAUCGGAAUUACUGGGCGUAAAGCGCGCGUAGGUGGUUUGUUAAGUUGGAUGUGAAAUCCCCGGGCUCAACCUGGGAACUGCAUUCAAAACUGACAAGCUAGAGUAUGGUAGAGGGUGGUGGAAUUUCCUGUGUAGCGGUGAAAUGCGUAGAUAUAGGAAGGAACACCAGUGGCGAAGGCGACCACCUGGACUGAUACUGACACUGAGGUGCGAAAGCGUGGGGAGCAAACAGGAUUAGAUACCCCAGUAGUCCCUGAGCGGGCUGGCAAGGCGCAU
rnacentral:rRNA from 1 species